GAUGAACGCUGGCGGCGUGCCUAAUACAUGCAAGUCGAGCGAACGGACGAGAAGCUUGCUUCUCUGAUGUUAGCGGCGGACGGGUGAGUAACACGUGGAUAACCUACCUAUAAGACUGGGAUAACUUCGGGAAACCGGAGCUAAUACCGGAUAAUAUUUUGAACCGCAUGGUUCAAAAGUGAAAGACGGUCUUGCUGUCACUUAUGGAUGGAUCCGCGCUGCAUUAGCUAGUUGGUAAGGUAACGGCUUACCAAGGCAACGAUGCAUAGCCGACCUGAGAGGGUGAUCGGCCACACUGGAACUGAGACACGGUCCAGACUCCUACGGGAGGCAGCAGUAGGGAAUCUUCCGCAAUGGGCGAAAGCCUGACGGAGCAACGCCGCGUGAGUGAUGAAGGUCUUCGGAUCGUAAAACUCUGUUAUUAGGGAAGAACAUAUGUGUAAGUAACUGUGCACAUCUUGACGGUACCUAAUCAGAAAGCCACGGCCAACUACGUG
rnacentral:rRNA from 1 species